rnacentral:rRNA from 1 species
UACGUAGGGUCCGAGCGUUGUCCGGAAUUAUUGGGCGUAAAGAGCUCGUAGGCGGUGUGUCGCGUCGGCCGUGAAAACCUGCAGCUUAACUGUGGGCUUGCGGUCGAUACGGGCAUCACUGGAGUUCGGCAGGGGAGACUGGAAUUCCUGUGUAGCGGUGAAUGCGCAGAUAAUCGAGGAGAACACCAAUGCGAAGGCAAGCUCUCGUGGGACGGUACUGACGCUGAGACGCGAAGCGUGGGAGCGA